rnacentral:lncRNA from 1 species
AAAUGUAGGAUUACUCGAUUACACAUCAGGUUUGUAUAUACAUACGUGCGUACAUAUAUGCAUACAAUUUUUUUAGCAUUAGCAUAAAAAAAAUAAAAUGAACAAACAAACAGUCAAAUUUUCACUUUUUUUUUUUAUUUUUUUUACUUUACUCCGCUAGGUACUCUGGAUUAUGUUCAAAACCAUAGGGAAAAUGACACAAUAAAAAAACUAUAUGGAGAUAACAAAUACUCAGUCGUUUUAAUCUAUCACAAUGAUAAUUAUAAUGAGGAUAUAAAAAAAAAUUGCAAAAAUUAUCAACAGAGUUCUUCGUACAUUAACGUUUAUGAUGUUGUUAAUUUGAACUUGCUAAACACGUUAGAAUAUUCAAAUGAAAUAGUCGAAGAUUUUAUUAUUAAAAAUGAAAAGAUAUAUAUUGUUUUACCUAAUAGAAUAGACAUAGUAAAUAUAAAUGAUCGAAAUUCAGUUAAUUCAAUAAAUUUUGAAAAACUAAAAUUAAAUACUUUGUAUUAUAGAAUUGUUUCUAUAAAUGAUAAUAAUAUAACUUUAUUUUAUGUUGAGAAAGAGAAUUUAUUUUGCAACUUAAUAAAAAUUAAUAUUUUAAAUGAAAGUAAAUCUUCCCAUUUAAAAAAAAUUGAGGAAUUAAAUAUAAAUAAUAAAACUAAUAAUUAUAUCAAUGUAAUAAGCAAUAAUAAAGUUGUGAUUAUAUAUAACAAACAAUAUUUACAUUGGGUCGAAAUACUAGACAACUUUAAUAAUUAUUAUUAUAAUAAAAUAACUUUAAAUGAGGAAGAAGAGGGUAGUUUAUUUGAUAAAACACAAAUGAAAAGUGAUAACAUUUUUACAAUGAAUAAUAGUUUUAUAAUGAAUGAUGGAAUGGAAGAUUUUAAUAUAAAAAAUUUAUUUGUGAUUCGUUUAGGAUCGACUAAAUUUGUGUUUGAGUAUAAUGAUAAAAAAAUGAAUUUAUUAUAUGAAAGAAAAAAUGAAAGCGAAAUAAUAGGAUUUUAUAUUAAUGAGAAUAAUAAAAAGGAUAUGAUAUAUGGUUUAGAUACAGGUGAUAAGAUUAUUGUGAAGAGGUUAGAACAAGGUAUUGUUAGUGGCGGUAGUGAUACAGACCGUAUACAAAGUAAAAAUGACAAAAACCGCAAAAGUGAAAAUACACUUGUUAUAUUAAACAAAAGCAGUAACGUGUUUUAUAAUGGAGAAAUAUUAAUCGGUUUAUAUGAUAAACAAGAAAAGGUUAACUAUUUUUUUAGUGUGUAUAAUGAUGCAUCAUUUACUGUUUAUAAAGAUAAUGAUGCUUACUACUCAAGAGAAGAGUGUUUAUCAUAUAUAGAACAGUUACAUUUAUAUAAUUUUACACAUUUAAUAGAAUCAAAAAAAAAAAAAAAUUAUAUACAUUCGGUGUUUAAUAAAAAAAUUGAUAUUAAACAAGAAAUAAAAAAUUAUAUAAAAAAAAAAAUGGAUUCAUUUAAUAAAGAGUACUUAGAAGAAUUGAUGGAGAUAAAACAACAAGAAUUAUCAUUACUACCUUUUAAUUUUUUUUACCUAUCCAAUGAACAAAAACUGAUAUUAUUAAGUAUUAACAAAAACAUAGAGACAGAAAAUGAUAUAUUAAAAGAGUUAAAAAAAAAGAAACAAAAAAAAAACAACAGCGAUUUGAAAAUUAAUGACUAUAAAUUUGAUUACAUGCCCAAAUUGAUAGACAAAUAUUUAACUAGGUAUGAAAAUAAUCAAAGUAGUGAAUACGCAGGUAGUAUAAUUAUACUUUUACACACAUGUAAUCAUUUUAUAUUUGCUGUACAUCCAUACACAGGAUUAAUAUUAUAUAAAAUUGAUGGUAAUAAAUUGGAAGGAAUAAAACGAGAUCAAAAAAAUGAAAAGAGAGAUGCAUUUUUAUUAAAAAGUGAGUUAUGUACCGUAACUUUGGGAAACCACAAUUGGUCAGAGAUGCAAAAUGGGAAGAAAAAUAUGUUUUUGAAUGAUGAAGAAUGUGAAGGUGUGGGUACUGCAAAAAGUCCCGUCAAUAAUAGUAACAGUAACAGUAACAGUAGUAUGCACUUAUUUAAAGGUUUUUCCGACGAUUCGUUAUUAAUAGUUUUUAAACGUGCUACUUUUUCAUAUAUAGUACUGCUUGACAUAUUAAGCGGCGAUGUGUUAUUUGAAAAAACAAUGGACUCAUUUUUAAUUGAACAUAUUUUUGUUCAUACAGAAAGUUUUUCAGUUAUUGUUGUAGAUAAGUUGUUUAAUACUAAUAUUAUACAUAUAGAUAGUGACAUAAGUCGACAGAUUAAAAAUAUAAAUAAAGAAGAACUUUUUUUUUAUAGAAUAAAUAAAUUAACAAAUUGUAUUGAAGGGUACAAGUUAAUUGACUCGGGAAGUAGCAACAACAACAGAAGUAAUGAUGUUCAUGUUAUUAAAACUUAUUUCAUAAAUUUACACGAUGAGGAUAUAAUAAUUUUUGC